rnacentral:piRNA from 1 species
UCAAUGUUGCAGACAGCAUCACUAGAGCUGC